AAUUAGCGCUUAUCAUUACAAUUCUACCUAAACGAAGUCAACGCAGUCGAUACAGCUGUACUGUUUUCGCGUUUUAGAGCAAUGUCACGUGUCAGUUAAGUACACUGUGCAAUCUACACCCUUUUGUGUCAAAACCGGAUUUAUCUUGAUUACGUAACUGACGGAGUAUGAAUGCGUGGAUAACGUUGGAUUUAAGUGCCUCAUGCCUUUGGCCAUUUAAAGACCGUACGGGACAAUCGCAUAAAUAUUGUCUGCUGGAGAAGUCCAAGGAUUUAUCAUCAGAGUGUGACCAGAACUGUGCGUCAUGCGUAUCUAGAUCCAGAGCAGUCGUUACUGAUAUUACGAUCAAGGAAAAUUUCUUUGAUCAUCGAAAAGGGAGUAAGAAGAAAGGCGGGACCGUUGAUAUGGACAGAAACUCUCUACAAAAAAGGCGUCCUUGGUGUUAGGUGGGAAAAAGCUAGAAGAAUCGAAUUCAAAAUGCUGGUUUAAUACUUCUUAAAUGGGCUUAACAGACGUCAUCUAACUUCCAUUGUGUUUUGUGUAAUAUAUUGGAACAGCAAAACGGUGAAUUCGAAUGUAAAUAAUAUAUGUUAUAUACCAGCUAAUGACAUAUUCAUUUUAAGGUAAAUACUUAUACUGAAUGUGCAUUUUUUCUACAUAUUGUAUACGUAUUACAUGCGUCAGUGGCGUUUGUGGAUACGCAACUUAUUGUUAAACUUGUUAUAAGUGUUAAUGUAUGAAUAUUAAA